CACAACCGAAAAAUACAGAAGGUUUCCAAAGAACAGUGAUUCUUGGAGUUCCUGAAAGCAGAUCCUCUCAGAAAGCAAAAGAAGCCAGAUGAGUUUUCGUGACACGAUGUGCGCGGCUAAGGCUCGGCGCAUGUCACAGGAAAAGGGAAAUCGUGUAAGAGCCAGAGGAUUGGAAGGGGUGCUGUAAAACGCAACCUUUGGACAUGACAUGACCGUUUUACCCAGGAGCUGCGGUUGGUUACCGGCACCAGACCAGCGAGGAUUCCAGCUUGGACGAGUGGGAGAGACUCAAAUGGCUAAACUCCUGGCUGAGUGGUUUGUAGGCUGCUGAUGGCUGCUGAGGAAAGGAGACACCUCCUCCAUUUGGGGUACCACUGCCACUGAUAAAUUGUCCAUGUUCCAGUAAGUGGCCCACACCCAUAUGCCUAUGAUUAGUGCUAAUUAGACUCGGGACUCUGUGAGUUAUUUUACUGUGGGGGCGGGGGGAGGAGGUGAUGAAGUUGAAGUUGGGAUCAGGAGUGGGAAUAUGGGGGUAGAUAUGAUCAAAAUACAUUGUAUAUAUGUAUGACAUUCUCAAAUAAUCUUUGGAAAUUUUCUGGUGGAGUCUUUAGGGACUCUUGCAUGUUGGGUCUCUUCCAUACAAAGUUAUAUCAUCUGCACUAGAGAUGUGUGUUGGCUUCUUCUUUUCCUGCCUGCAUCUUUUUUGCUUGCUUCCCCUGCAUGAUUGCUCUGGCUAAAACUUCCAGUAGUAUAUCGAACAAGAGUUAAGAAGAUGAACAUUCUUAUCUUUAUCACAAUAAAUGGAAAUACAGUGAUUUCCCCCUCAUUUUAGAAAAUGAUGGCUAUAGGUUUGUCAUAUAUAGCUUUCAUUAUAUCGAGAUGUGGUCCUUCUAUUCUGAGUUUCUUAAGACUUUUUUUUUUUUUUUUUUUUUUUUUGAGUCAGGGUUUUUUUAGCUCUGGCUGUCCUGAAUCUUGCCACAUGUACAUCAGCUUGGCCGCUAACUCGGAUUUUUGCCAGCCAUGCUGGAGUUAAAGGCAUGCUUCACCAUGCCCUGAGCUUUGGGACUUUUAACAAGAAGCAACACUGGAUUUCUUCAAAAGCCUGUUCCGUUUCUACUUAGAUGAUCAUGUGAUUCCUGUCUUUGAGUUCAUUUGGUGAAGUUUGCAGCAUUUGUUGAUUUACAUCUAUUGAGCCAUAUGUCCAUCUCUGAGAUAAAAAAUCAACUUGAUCAUGGUGAACAAUCUUUUUUAUGCUAUCUUAGUUGGUGUUCU
rnacentral:lncRNA from 1 species